CAUGCCAUUGACAUGUGAUAUUGAUCAGUCAUAUCCUUAUGAUAAAACACUAUCAGUAUUGAAGCAGGGAUUGGUGGUGGACACUGUAUUGACAGACCAGGACAUUAUGGAACUACACAAUGGCUUGACAAGUGGCAAAAUAAGAU